AAGUCGUAACAAGGUUUCCGUAGGUGAACCUGCGGAAGGAUCAUUAACACUUUUUUUCUUUCCUUCUUUCUUGCUUUUAUUUGCAAGAUAGAUCGAAAAAAAAAACUAUAUCCACCCCUUUUUAUGAAUGAACUUUGAUGGUUUUAGGACCAUUUCAAUUCUUUCUAUUAUCUUUUUUUUUCAAACCCCUUUUUUUAUAAAAACAAAAUGCCUGAUACCGAUUGAAAUCGUAGCUGAAAAGCUUCGAUCUCAAAAAAACGCUAAAAUUGCAAAAAACAACUCUUAGCAACGGAUAUCUUGGCUCUC
rnacentral:misc_RNA from 1 species